AUGGCUAGGCAGCUCGAGCUUCCCGGCGCAGCGGUCGCAGCANNNNNNNNNNAAGGAAUAGAUAAUAUGGAGAAAAAGUAUUCAGUUUCCUCAGAUAUCAGUUAUCUGACCAUAUUAGCAUUGGUUGAGUUGGAGGGCUAUGGCAUGGAUGCAUUUCUGACUUAUGUAAAGGAAGAGGGAAAGGGGCUGGAGGGUGUGGAGGCCCUGGAUACUGAGGAGGCAUUAGAGGAAAUGCUUGACUUAUUUGUUGAUAAGAAGGUACUGAACAUCAGUGUCAGAAAAGCUACUGAUCCAAGCCCAGCUGAUGAGGAACAGAUCCCCAUUGAUCAUGUUGGUGAACCUGUUGUUUACAGAGUUUCACAAGAAGGUGUUCUGUACCCUGCCUCUAAUGCUAGCUUGCCAUCUUUAACCCCUGAUGAGCCCUACAUGAACACACAGCAAAGCAGCAAUUUGAACAAGGGGAAAACAGUUGUGGAAGAAGAAGAUGUAGAAGAAGAAGCAGAUGAAGAAGAAGAAGAAGAUGUACCAGAGGAAGAAGAUGAAGUUGAAGAUGACAAAUCAUCUUCAGAUUUUGAGUUCUUUAGGGGUGAUUACAGAGGGGAGAAAAUUUCUUACAAAGCUUGGUGUAGGGGUGAAGAUGAGGCUGGCACUGAUACUGCAGAGCACUAUUAUGCAGCUAACUCAGAACCUUCUGAGUUUUGGGAGGAAGAACCAAUAGUUUCUGAAGAUGAAGAAGUAGUGGAUCCUGCUGCUGUAACUACAAAAGCAGCCAAAAAGCUUAAGCCAGUUAGAAAACCUGGCCCAACUAGCAAGUCUCACAGUGAGCCUGAGCACAACAAGUUUGAAGAUUAUGUCCCUGAAGCUGAUGAGUACUAUUUUCCAGGUGAUUUUGGCAUAAGUGAUGAAGAGGAUGCACCAAGGCUGCCAUCUGGAAGAAAGAGUAGGAAGAAGCAGAAGAAGGAGAGGAGAUGGUAUGAUCCAAAAAGGCCUGAUGCACAUGAGCAGUUUUCAAUGCAUUUGUGCUUUGAAAAUGUAGUUGAGUUCAGAGAAGCACUUAGAAAUUUUCAUGUGAGGACUCUUAGGAAUUUUGAGUAUCACAGAAAUGAACCAACUAGGGUUAUUGCUUGGUGCUCUGAGAGAAAACAUGGUUGUGAGUUUUACAUAGUUGCCUCCAAGAUAGCUCAUGAGGCAACUUUCAGUAUCAAGAAGAUGAACCUGGAUCACACUUGUGGAGCAAGUGGAGAGAACACAAAGGUGACAGUCAGUUGGGUUGCUAAGGUUUGUGAGGAUACAGUCAGAUCCAACCCUGGAGCUGGUGUUGACACAAUUAUGUCAUACACAAAGAAGAAGUUUGGUGUGCAUGUGCCUAAAGGCUUGGCAUAUAGAGCAAGGAAGCAAGCAGUUGAGGUUGUGCAAGGAGAUCACAAACUCCAGUAUCACAGAAUAAGGGACUACCUGCAGUGUGUGCUAGAUACUAACCCUAGCAGUAGGUGCAUAGUAACAACACAUGAGGACCCACUUAACCCAGCUCCUACCCCAAGGUUUCACUAUAUGUUUUACUGCUUGUUUGCAUGCAAGGAGGGUUUUCUGAAUGGAUGCAGGCCAUUUAUAGGUCUGGAUGGUUGCUUCAUCAAGCUAAGCACUGGUCAGCAGAUAUUGGCAGCUACAGGGAGGGAUGGCAACAAUAACAUCUUCCCAAUAGCUUUUGGUGUUGUUGAUAAGGAAGAGACAGACAGUUGGACAUGGUUUCUCACACAGUUGAGAACAGUCAUUGGAACUGGCAAUAAGUUUGGCAAAUACACAAUUAUGUUUGACAGGCAGAAGGGAUUGUUGAAUGCAAUAGAGGAUGUAUUCCCUGACUCUCCACAAAGGAGGUGGGACAUGACAGCUGUCCCCUGUAGUCAUGCCAUUGCUGCAAUGCAGAAAGUGAAGAUACACCCUGAAGACUAUGUUUCUGCUUUCUUCAAGAAACCCAUGUAUUGUGAAACAUAUAAGCACAUAAUAUUCCCUGUGCCAGGUCCUGACCAUUGGCCUCAUACACCUGGUGAUGAUAUUUCUCCCCCUGUUUUUAGAGAAAAGAAAGGUAAAAAACAAACUGCCAGGAGGAAAGGCCUGUUUGAGGUGCCAGCUAAAAAGGAUACUUCUAGGAUUGGUACAGUGACAUGCAGCAACUGCAAGAAGCAAGGGCACAGGAUCAACAAUUGUGGUGUCCCUUUGAAACCUAAGUUCCAGAUGAGGCUGAACAAGCACCAGGAAAAUAGAGCAAACUACUCUGAGGCUGGUUCUUCAAUGGCUGCAACUGCACAAAGGCCACCAAGGGUACCUGCUGCCUCUGCACCUGCACCAACUCCUCCUCCAAUAACAAAUGUGUCAACACAGACAGCUUCUAGGUCAAGGAAAAGGGCAGCUCCAGCUACAACAGCAGUACCACCACCUCUCAAGAAGAGCAGGCCCAACACCUCUUCUUCAACACUAGUACCACCUCCCAAGAAGAAGAACACAACUAUUUCUGGCAAUGGAUCAAGGUCUUCUCCAGCAAAGAACACAAGGUCAUCAAGGUCUUCUCCAGCAAAGAACACCAGGUCAGCUGCUGCCAAUAGAGCUGGCAAUGGAUCUUUCAUUGCUCCUAGACAAUCUGCUACAAGUGUUGUGCAGGAUGGGUCAAAGAGGGUCAGGAAGCCAUCUGGGAGGCUGAAAGAUUACUUUUAUGCAAGUGGUAACUAG
rnacentral:rRNA from 1 species